AAGUAUAUUUUGCUUUGGUUUAUCUUAGUUCAAUGAAUUGAAAACUUGCACCUUUUUCUUGGGCAGCAGAUAAACUGCCUUCAUUAAGCAUGCGCAGCUAAUCAACUCACUUGGUUCCUUUAGGAAAGCCGGAGUGAGGGAUGGGGAAGCAAGUUAAAACAUGGUUUUCAGCGAACUGAGCAAGUGAAAACGUCGGGUUUUCGAGACUUGAUUUUUGGAUGGAGUGAUGGUUUAGUGGACGACGGCUCUUCCAGAGGUCCUGAGUUCAAUUGCUAGCAAACACAUGGCAAUUAUCUGUAAUGGAUUCCGACGUCCCCUUCUGGUGUGUCUGAAGACAGGAACACCGUACUCACAUAGUAUACCAGCUCUUGGGUUUAUACAGAUUAUCAGACUGGGAGAAACAAAAUGAAUCAACCAUGUUGCCUUAUCUAUGUAUCCACAGCCUGAUGGUGUGGAUUGGUGAGGGUAGGGCCUUUUGCUACAGUGAAUUUAAGUGAGUGAAGACUGGCUCAGCCGCCGAAGCCAUAGAGAGUGCGGCCCUGGCGCUUGAGAGUAUAGACCACAUCCAUGGCAGUCUUGCGAUUGGCUUGCUCAAGUGUAGGUGACGGCGUCGCGGAUCACGUUCUCCAGGAACACCUUCAGCAUACCGCGGGUCUCCUUGUAGAUGAGGCCAGAGAUGCGCUUCACCCCUCCGCACCGAGCCAGGCGGCGGAUGGCGGGCUUGGUGAUGCCCUGGAUAUUGUCGCGCAAGACUUUGCGGUGGGCGCUUAGCCCCGCCUUUGCCUCGGCCUUACAUAACUACCUUAUUUUGAAGGCUUUCCAGCAACAAGCUGGGUUGCUAAAACUUCCGUGUACAAGUAUACACUCUUAUCGGACCUGGUUGAGAACUUCAAGUGGGCGGGGACCAAAAGGUGGCC